AAUGAAACCCUAAGUCUCUAAUAAUUCACGAACCUCAUCAGUCUUCAUCCCGCUGCGGCGCCGCUUCAUCUCCUUCUCUCACUCCCCUCUUUCUCCAACUUUUCAACACACGAAUUAACAACCACCACCACCAUGAUCUACCUCCUCCUAAUCUCUUUUCUCACCCAAUUUAUAUCCGACCAAGUCAAAUGAAUAUAAUGACCCGCAUUCACCUCUAUCAAAUCUGUCAUAACCUUGUUCACUUGAUUAAGAAUCUCUUUGUUUAGAUUUUUAAAAAAUUUACUAAUUUUGGGUUGUAUAGAGGAAUUCCACCUUGCCGCAGACACUAACAAUUGCAAUUCCACUGCAAGAAUCCGCGUUGAUUGUAGAUCUAUUGUUUGAUUUUGCUUUUGUUUAGCGGGCGUUCAUCGUUUAAUGAUGCUGUUUUCACAAGGAAGGAGUAUUUCAGCUACAUUUUUUGAUGUAAUUAUUUUUGUAUUGUAGAUUACAAUCAUUUGUAUACGAAGUACAUUAUUUAUUGUGGAAUUUCAAGUUUUUUUUUGUA